UACGGAGGGGGCUAGCGUUGUUCGGAAUUACUGGGCGUAAAGCGCGCGUAGGCGGCUUUGUAAGUUAGAGGUGAAAGCCCGGAGCUCAACUCCGGAACUGCCUUUAAGACUGCAUCGCUAGAACGUUGGAGAGGUGAGUGGAAUUCCGAGUGUAGAGGUGAAAUUCGUAGAUAUCAAGUGGAACACCGGUGGCGAAGGCGAGUCCCUGGACAACACCUGACACUGAGGCACGAAAGCUAGGGGAGCAAACAGG
rnacentral:rRNA from 1 species